AGCAGAGUGGCUCAGUGGAAAGAGCACGGGCUUUGGAAUCAGAGGUCAUGAGUUCAAAUCCCAGCUCUGCCA
rnacentral:tRNA from 1 species